rnacentral:lncRNA from 1 species
CAGAUACCCUUCCCAAGUUCAAGGCCAGCCUGGGCGAUCUGAAGAGACUGACUCAAUAUAAAAUUGUGGAAGGGUUGGAGAGGCUGCUUUGUGGUCUAGUGGGAGGAAGGUCCUGUGUUUGGUCCUUCUGACCCAGAAUGUCUGACAGACUUUUCUGUGCAGCUGGAAUUAUGAAGGACUUGCCUGCCUUGUCCUUGCAAAACUCAGCAGCCAUCUUCUCGGCUCAUUGCUGGCCUCUUGGACGCACCUGCUCCUAGGGUAUCACUCACUCCUGCUUUCCUCAGAGAGCUCCAGCUCAGCUCUCUGCUAUUUCUCCUCUCUAAAUCCUGGGGAGAUCUGACUUCUCCUGGCUUUGUCUGUGUGUAAGCACCCUUCACAGACCCUCUCAUCCAGAUGAAUGGCUUUAAAUUCUCAUUCUCUACCUCACCAUUUCCAACUCUAACCAAGACAUAGGCCCUGAACUACUCCAUUUAAAUGGAAAUUUCCAUUUUCAAAUCUCCAAAGUCUUGAUUGCUACUGUCUUCUCCACAAAAGUAUUUUUGUGCUGAAGAUGUUGGUCAGUGGUUAUGGUGCUUUGAAUAACAAUGUUUCCCCUAAGUCAUGUAUUUAAUUAUUUGGUCUCCAGUUGGUCGUGUUCCUUGUGGAAGCUUAGGAGGUGUGAUCUAGAAAGAGCUUUGAGAACUUAAGGUCUAUCCCUAUUCCCAAUUUGCUCUCCCUGUUUGAACUUUGUGGUUCAGGAUGUGUACCUUCAACUUCUUCCUUCUGCCACGCCUUGCUGCUUGUUGCCUAUCUCCCCACCACGAUGGACUGUUGUUGUAAAAUGUAAAAAAUAAAAAAAAAAGUAGGGUUGUCUUUU